UGUUCCAUCGUCUAGCGGUCUAGGACGCUGGCCUUGUGCCGGAAACGUGGGUUCGAAUCCCAUUGGAACAG
rnacentral:tRNA from 1 species